UACAAGGCGUUUUUCCUUUUCAUGAUCAAAAAGGGAUAUACGAAAUUUUAAAAAUGCUUUGAUUUUCAUUUUAUACUUAGAAUAACAAAAAAGUAAAAUCAGUAAGAGACAGAAACGAAAAAGGUCCGUUUUUUAUUUUCUGAGACCGGAAGUGGUCAUCAGCAAGUGUGGAGCCAAACAGAGUACAGUGCAUAGACUGGAUAUAUUUUUUUUCGUUAGUUUUCAUGGUCAAAAUGAGAGAUCAGGUGGCCGAUCUUAAAAUAAAUCAAUAUUGAUUUUUUUAUAGAGCGUUAAAGUUUUGCAAAGCCAGGGGGCGGGACUACUUGAUUGACAGUCUGGUCUGGAAUGAUUGACAGGUCCUAUGGAGGAAGCAGCAGAGACUCUGCUCUCCUCGUUUGGAUUAAUUCUGAUAUAAUAACUGUUGGUUUAUUUAUCGGUGGAGCAGCAGAACCUUUUCCACAGACAGUUUUCCUGCCCGUUGGCUUGUUUUAACCAGUUUUCUGCCUUCAGGUGAUUCUAGCAGCAGACACUGAAAGGACUCUGAUAGUUCAAGUGAAAGUAGCAGUUCCUCCUGAAGGUCAGAGAUUGCAGCAUCUGAGGGCCUCUUCAAAAGAAGACGUAGUUGAUGAAGGCGUUCUGGAGCAGGACCAGAAAGACCACGACCAAGCAGCCUUGAGAUCUUAGGCAGCGUCUCCCUGAGGUCCCUCUCUAUCUCCCCACACAUCCACCAACCACUGGAAUACAUCUCCAAAGUUCUGCCAGGCCAGUUCAGCUUCCCCUCAGAAGAAGUGCUGCCACCUGCCAGAUGAAGGAGCCUUUUGAGAGGCAGCUGGCAUCGUGAUUGGACUGUACUUUGGUCUGUUCCAAUCCAGCUUCAGCUCCAGAGACGGCAGGCGGGACGAGUCAACGGAGGCCUGGUGGACGAAGGCAUGCAGCUGAGUACAAUCCAGAAAACAACAGAGGAAGAAAUAAACAUAGUGUAUACAUCAUAUACUGUAUAAAAGACACAUCCACUGUAGAAUUGUAGUAAUUGUGGGCUGACUGAUUUACUGAUUAUCAGUAUUUUUUACUGAUUUACUGUAAUAAAUACAUUUAGAAAUGGCGCUACUUUGGCUCUGAACCUUUAUCUACCUGCGGUCGCUCUGCCUUCUGGAGUGAUUUGAUUGGUUAUACGUCACAAAUAAAACUCCGUUAACUUAACAUCUGUAAACAAAACAAAAAAGUAUCAACAAAGUUUUCUGUUAGAGUUUGUGUUCUUCUAAGUUUAACUCCAAGAUUUUAAAUCCUUUCAUUUACUGCAAAUGAAUAUCUACUCCAAAUGUCUCACUAAUAAUCAUUAUCAGCCUUAAAAACCCACAAAACACCCCUCUAUACUGGACCACACUUAGUACAGUCCGGUUUCCCCUUCUAUAAAUCUGCUUGGAAUCUUCCACUUCCUGUUUGUCAAAGUGGCCUUCUACCUGGACAGGUUUUGUUGGAGCUCAUGCAACAAACAUUUUGGGUAACUGCACUUUAAUAUGGAUGGAUGACACUGAAUUAGAGUCCGUUUUAAUGAGACUGAGUUAAGAUGCGUAGCUCUGUCAUUAAAUAGGAAAUUAUUUCUCAGAAUUCACAGAGGAAAGUCUGAAAUGUUUGCUAGGUUAGCAUCACACAUGUUCUUUGGCUCAGCUAAAGCUAACUCUCCAACUUCUGGAUCUCUUGAGUUGCUUGUUAAAUUAUCUUGCUAGAGGUGCUAAAGCUCAGAAAGUCUGAGAUGUUUGUUCAAAAUUAGCUCAUUCUCAAGUCUGAUCUGAACUGUCCUCUUUUGUUUGAACUUUCCCUAAACUUAGGAGUUAAUGACAGAGCAGCACAUCCAGACUCAGUCUCAUUUAUGUAGAGAUUAAACUUCAGUGUCAUUCAUUGAUGUUAAAGUGCAGUUUUUCAAAUGUUUGUUGCACUUGAUCCCGACCAAACCAGUCCAGGUGGAAGACGAUGUGAAGAGAAAGCUCUAGAGGAUGAAUAUCACACAUUUACGUUGGAAAUAAAUGUCCUUUAAUUAGACAUUGUCAUGCAAACGUUGGGUUUCCCUUUAAUGAUGUUCAAAUCUUUGUUGAGUGUUUUGUUGAUGUUGGUUUCUAAAUGUUUUCUGACACUCGGCCCCAAAGAUUAAAACCUUUUAUGGCUCACAAGCUGCAACAAUUCACACAUUAUCAACUAUCUUUCUGACUAAACUAAGAUAAAAAGUGAAAAACUGCCUGAUUCCUGCAUCAUGAAUGUAAAUCUGUUUGGUUUUUAUGACAGUAAACUGAAUAUAUUUGGGUUUGACAUUUUAUAAACCAAAACAAGAAAUGUAUUAGUGGAGAAAACAAUCAACAGAUUAAUGGACAAAGAAAAUGUGUUUUCCAACAUAUAUGGCUGAAUUACUCCAACAUUACAAGAUACAUACAGUUUUAAUUCAAUUUUAUUUAUAAAACGCCAAUUACAGGUCAAAUUGUCUCAAGACGCUUUAUUUUUAUAUUUUUUUGUCAUAUUUAAAAUAUGACAAAGUAAGAAAUUUCAACCUCUUGACUAAUCCAAUUUAUUAUUUGGUUUUUAAGAGACUAAUGGACAAUUAAAAUAAGUUUCUUCACUAAAACUAAUAAACAUGAGGUCAAAUAGAAGGAAGAGUUUUAAAUACUGCACUCCCACGACGACAAGAAUAAAGUUUGUCAACAAAAAUUAAAUCUGCUGGUGGAUUCCAUUAAAGUCCUAAUAAAUGAUAAUAAAGUGUGAUACUAAAGGUUUGUGGUGCUAAAAAUCUGAAAGAUAUGAAGUUGAACAUGUGGAUGGAGGUUGAUAAAAGUUGACCAACUCCGUGGAUUUUCUGGAUGGUGGUUAAAGACCUGCUCUUCUAGUGGUCUUCCUUCUAGUCACUGUAAAAAUUCAGUCCAUCCUGGCCAACUUCAACACCUCUUCAUGACAACUUGUCCUGCCUCCGACCUGGUGGAAACUCCAGAAACUGGGGAAAACCUGUGGAGACUCGAAGAACUCGUGGCGACUCGAAG